GACAGAGGGUGCAAACGUUGUUCGGAAUUACUGGGCGUAAAGCGCGUGUAGGCUGCUUCGCAAGUCGGAUGUGAAAGCCCUGGGCUCAACCUAGGAAGUGCAUUCGAAACUUCGAAGCUUGAGUUCUGGAGAGGAAGGCGGAAUUCUCGGUGUAGAGGUGAAAUUCGUAGAUAUUCGGAAGAACACCAGUGGCGAAGGCGGCAGCCUGGACCGAUACUGACGCUGAGGUGCGAAAGCGUGGGGAGCAAACAGG
rnacentral:rRNA from 1 species